rnacentral:lncRNA from 1 species
ACGAACUAUAGGCCGUUCCAACAUGCUGUCAAAAUUAAAUCAUUAUGGCUACUGGGAGUAAAAGAUAAAUGUUAUUCUAUCUGUUCUUAAUGUGUUUUAGAUAAUUUUAGUUGUAUUUCUUUGUAAUUUUGUGUUAUACAAAGAUUAAUUUAACAUUUUCUCUGGAAGUAGUAAUUUAGAAAGAAAAUACGCUUCAUUGGUGUUGUGUUUUGAAGUGUGAAAUGCAAAGUUAUCGGGAUAAAGUCAUAAAGUCAAGAUAAAGUUCACUUUUAAACUGAACUAAAUAAGGUAUCAUCUGAGAGACAACAAUGGUUAAAUGCAAUACAAUGUAAAGGUUUUACUAGCGAAAUGAAAAUUCUCCUGUCUGCUGUAAUUAUUUUAUAUCUGGAAAACCAGCAGACUUAAUCCAUAACAACAAUCCAUAUUGGGUUCCUUCAAUAAAUAUGGGCUAUCAACACAAUGAAAUAAGUUCCCCAAAAUCUAAAAUGGAGUGGUAUCAAAGGAGAAUUAAAAGAAAAAA